CAAUCUGCCCUAAAGAUCGGAGUAGCUCGAGGAAACUCGAAUUAAUGCCGGAUGUGGCACGUCAACUUAUGUUGAUAGUGCUAAAGCUUGAAAUGGCGCUUUAGGAGGAGUUCGCGGCCUAUCAGCUAGUUGGUGAGGUAAAGGCUCACCAAGGCAAAGACGGGUAGCUGGUCUGAGAGGAUGAUCAGCCACACUGGAACUGAGACACGGUCCAG
rnacentral:rRNA from 1 species